AUUGAACGCUGGCGGCAGGCCUAACACAUGCAAGUCGAACGGUAACAGGAAGAAGCUUGCUUCUUUGCUGACGAGUGGCGGACGGGUGAGUAAUGUCUGGGAAACUGCCUGAUGGAGGGGGAUAACUACUGGAAACGGUAGCUAAUACCGCAUAACGUCGCAAGACCAAAGAGGGGGACCUUCGGGCCUCUUGCCAUCGGAUGUGCCCAGAUGGGAUUAGCUAGUAGGUGGGGUAACGGCUCACCUAGGCGACGAUCCCUAGCUGGUCUGAGAGGAUGACCAGCCACACUGGAACUGAGACACGGUCCAGACUCCUACGGGAGGCAGCAGUGGGGAAUAUUGCACAAUGGGCGCAAGCCUGAUGCAGCCAUGCCGCGUGUAUGAAGAAGGCCUUCGGGUUGUAAAGUACUUUCAGCGGGGAGGAAGGGAGUAAAGUUAAGACCUUUACUCAUUGACGUUACCCGCAGAAGAAGCACCGGCUAACUCCGU
rnacentral:rRNA from 1 species